ACCUGUCUGCAGUCCUGCUCUUCGUUAACCGCUGCUCUGGGCCCUGGCUUGGCGAAGCCUGGCCCUGCUCCGCCCACGGAGAGCCGCAGGGCUGCUUACCCGAAUUACUGUCGUGUGUCAUUCUCCUCCCCGACGCCCAGCCUGGCUGGGCGCUGCAGCUGGGAGGCGGAGGCGUGACCUUCGUGCGGUCAUCACUUGGAGCCCUCAGAUUGCUGAUGGCUAAGAGCUUAAGACGACCAGGACUUCCAGGUGCUGGGGACCCGUGUUGGGCAGGGUCCCCCAUGCCACCUGUGUGACUGAUGGCGCUGAGAAGAAACUUCAGGAAAAAAAGAUGACAGGAAAAAACACAUACAAGCUCUUAAAGCUCACAAAUUAGUUUAACAAGAAAAACAUCAGCCAGAUCCAACUGAACAAUCCACUUACCCUGGCCCUGAGUGGUGGGCAGGGAGAGAGCCCAACUCUGGGGCCAGAGAACUCGCAGGUUCAAAUCAUUGCUCCUUUCUGAGCCUCAGUUUUCUUAUUUGAAAAGCAAAAAGUAAUACAUCUUAAUUCACCAAACUUUUGGUGAGGUCAAGAUACAGGAUGUAGAGGGUUUUGUGUCUUCUCCUGUAUGUGAAAAGGGCAAAACAAAGCACAAUGGAAGAACGGGAGUGCUGAAUGCUGCAAAGACCACGAGAAGACACAUUUGGGGCAAACACCCUACGCGGGCCUACCUGAAAAGCAUUGUCUUUAUUACUAAUUGACUUUCUGACUCUGGCCUCUUGCCUUCUGCUGAAGGGAAACAGGCAACCUUCAGCUUGGAUUCAACAUCACGCUGAAUCCACGUGCGACAGGCAGGGAGGGGAGCUCUCCCCACAGUGUGCAAGGUCCACGGGGAGGCAGGAUCCAAACUUCUGUCAGAUCAAGGUCCUGUCACGCACAGCUCUCUGCACUUGCAGAGAAGACCUGCAGAACUCAGAGCUGCUUUAACAGGGGAAGUGUCUUAUGAUCGGUGACAUAGGUGAGAAGAGAGAUAAUAAAAUGGAGUCCUCAGACUAAAGGCAGAGACUGACGGGGAAUCACCAGUGUCUUGCGUCUGUACCAGCCCCACAGACCCACCCCCAUGGUGUAGGGGCUUCGAGAAGUGAUAACUGAACCACACAAUUAAGGACAAACACGGUAAAUGUAAACUUUUGGAUAUACAAACAUAAAAUGUUAUCUUAGAACUGUAGGAUAUAAAUCUUUCUGGCCACUUUUCUAAGAAAUCACACAUAUACAGAUACUUAUAUUUUAAAAAAAUUGUACCAGACUAGAUAUGCUAUUUACAAACUGCCCUUUUCCCCUUAGCCAUGGUUUGGGCAGCUUUCCACACCAAUAAAUACGGAUCGAGACCUUGUUGUUGGGGUGAACUGUAUAGUACUCCUUGGUGUAGGUGCACUGUAAUUUACUUAUAAAUCCCUUACGAAAGGGAAAGUUUCUUUUCAACACACUAUUUUGAGGAUGAUGACUGUCCAAAGAUAAAACCAGCUGGU